ACAACUUGCUUGUUACGAUGUUUAUUCAUAUUGUCAUUGUAAAUUGUUAUUUAUAGAAAUGUUUAAUUAUAUUGCGAACCCAAAUCUAAAAUUAAUGAAUAGAAUAUUUUUCAAAGCAUAUUAAACCAAAAAAGAGAUAAUUUCAUCAUAUUACUUUUUACUCCUUGUACUAUUGUUUUAGUAAGUAACGAUCCAACUGAAUGAAAAAGGAAAUGUGUAAAACCCUUAGAGAACACUGAAGAGGAACCGGAAAUGUUAUACCGGUUCGAAAUGCAUAUGUGAAUACUAAUAAAAGAAUUUAUUAACCUUUGCUGUGAGAUAGUCUACCAAAAGGAUUAAAGAGACAACCAUCACAAUCGAAUAAAUACAGC